CAAACAACCGGGUUUUUUUUUGCGCUGCGCUGCUAUCAUGCAAGUCGAACGCUUUUUCUUUCACCGGAGCUUGCUCCACCGAAAGAAAAGGAGUGGCGAACGGGUGAGUAACACGUGGGUAACCUGCCCAUCAGAAGGGGAUAACACUUGGAAACAGGUGCUAAUACCGUAUAACAAUCGAAACCGCAUGGUUUCGGUUUGAAAGGCGCUUUUGCGUCACUGAUGGAUGGACCCGCGGUGCAUUAGCUAGUUGGUGAGGUAACGGCUCACCAAGGCAACGAUGCAUAGCCGACCUGAGAGGGUGAUCGGCCACAUUGGGACUGAGACACGGCCCAAACUCCUACGGGAGGCAGCAGUAGGGAAUCUUCGGCAAUGGACGCAAGUCUGACCGAGCAACGCCGCGUGAGUGAAGAAGGUUUUCGGAUCGUAAAACUCUGUUGUUAGAGAAGAACAAGGAUGAGAGUAAAAUGUUCAUCCCUUGACGGUAUCUAACCAGAAAGCCACGGCUAACUACGUGCCAGCAGCCGCGGUAAUACGUAGGUGGCAAGCGUUGUCCGGAUUUAUUGGGCGUAAAGCGAGCGCAGGCGGUUUCUUAAGUCUGAUGUGAAAGCCCCCGGCUCAACCGGGGAGGGUCAUUGGAAACUGGGAAACUUGAGUGCAGAAGAGGAGAGUGGAAUUCCAUGUGUAGCGGUGAAAUGCGUAGAUAUAUGGAGGAACACCAGUGGCGAAGGCGGCUCUCUGGUCUGUAACUGACGCUGAGGCUCGAAAGCGUGGGGAGCAAACAGGAUUAGAUACCCUGGUAGUCCACGCCGUAAACGAUGAGUGCUAAGUGUUGGGAGGGUUUCCGCCCUUUCAGUGCUGCAGCUAACGCAUUAAGCACUCCGCCUGGGGGAGUACGACCGCAGAUGAACUCAAUGAUGACGGGGGUCCCGCAACAAGGCGGGGUGGGGAAGCCAAUGUGUGGUGGU
rnacentral:rRNA from 1 species